GACGAACGCUGGCGGCGUGCCUAAUACAUGCAAGUUGAGCGCUGAAGGUUGGUACUUGUACCAACUGGAUGAGCAGCGAACGGGUGAGUAACGCGUGGGGAAUCUGCCUUUGAGCGGGGGACAACAUUUGGAAACGAAUGCUAAUACCGCAUAAAAACUUUAAACACAAGUUUUAAGUUUGAAAGAUGCAAUUGCAUCACUCAAAGAUGAUCCCGCGUUGUAUUAGCUAGUUGGUGAGGUAAAGGCUCACCAAGGCGAUGAUACAUAGCCGACCUGAGAGGGUGAUCGGCCACAUUGGGACUGAGACACGGCCCAAACUCCUGCGGGAGGCCGCAGUAGGGAAUCUUCGGCAAUGGACGAAAGUCUGACCGAGCAACGCCGCGUGAGGGAAGAAGGUUUUCGGAUCGUAAAACUCUGUUGGUAGAGAAGAACGUGGGUGGGGGUGGAAAGCUCAUAAAGGGAGGGUAACUACCCAGAAAGGGACGGCUAACUACGG
rnacentral:rRNA from 1 species